CCAGCGUUAUCCGGAAUUAUUGGGCGUAAAGAGCUCGUAGGCGGUUUGUCGCGUCUGCUGUGAAAUCCGGAGGCUCAACCUCCGGCCUGCAGUGGGUACGGGCAGACUAGAGUGCGGUAGGGGAGAUUGGAAUUCCUGGUGUAGCGGUGGAAUGCGCAGAUAUCAGGAGGAACACCGAUGGCGAAGGCAGAUCUCUGGGCCGUAACUGACGCUGAGGAGCGAAAGGGUGGGGAGCAAACAGGCUUAGAUACCCUGGUAGUCCACCCCGUAAACGUUGGGAACUAGUUGUGGGGUCCAUCCCACGGAUUCCGUGACGCAGCUAACGCAUUAAGUUCCCCGCCUGGGGAGUACGGCCGCAACCCUAAAACUCAAAGGAAUUGACGGGGACCGGCACAAGCGGCGGAGCAUGCGGAUUAAUUCGAUGCAACGCGAAGAACCUUACCAAGGCUUGACAUAUACGAGAACGGGCCAGAAAGUGGUCAACUCUUUGGACACUCGUAAACAGGUGGUGCAUGGUUGUCGUCAGCUCGUGUCGUGAGAUGUUGGGUUAAGUCCCGCAACGAGCGCAACCCUCGUUCUAUGUUGCCAGCACGUAAUGGUGGGAACUCAUGGGAUACUGCCGGGGUCAACUCGGAGGAAGGUGGGGAUGACGUCAAAUCAUCAUGCCCCUUAUGUCUUGGGCUUCACGCAUGCUACAAUGGCCGGUACAAAGGGCUGCAAUACCGCGAGGUGGAGCGAAUCCCAAAAAGCCGGUCCCAGUUCGGAUUGAGGUCUGCAACUCGACCUCAUGAAGUCGGAGUCGCUAGUAAUCGCAGAUCAGCAACGCUGCGGUGAAUACGUUCCCGGGUCUUGUACACACCGCCCGUCAAGUCAUGAAAGUCGGUAACACCUGAAGGCGGUGGCCUUACCCUUGUGGAGGGAGCCGUC
rnacentral:rRNA from 1 species